UACAGGGGGGGCAAGCGUUGUUCGGAAUUACUGGGCGUAAAGGGCUCGUAGGCGGCCGGCUAAGUCCGACGUGAAAUCCCCAGGCUUAACCUGGGAACUGCGUCGGAUACUGGAUGGCUCGAGUGUGGGAGAGGGAUGCGGAAUUCCAGGUGUAGCGGUGAAAUGCGUAGAUAUCUGGAGGAACACCGGUGGCGAAGGCGGCAUCCUGGACCAUAACUGACACUGAUAAGCGAAAGCCAGGGGAGCAAACGGG
rnacentral:rRNA from 1 species